AAUACCCCAUACUCCUUCUUAUCAUAAGGUAAGUUGGGAAAGAUUUAUUGCUAAAGGAUGGGGCUUUAUUGUAUCAGCUAGUUGGUGGGGUAAUGGCCUACCAAGGCGAUGACGCAUACCUGGUCUGAGAGGAUGAUCAGGCACACUGGAACUGAGACACGGUCCAGACUCCUACGGGAGGCAGCAGUGGGGAAUAUUGCACAAUGGGGGAAACCCUGAUGCAGCAACGCCGCGUGGAGGAUGACGCAUUUCGGUGUGUAAACUCCUUUUAUAAGGGAAGAUAAUGACGGUACCUUAUGAAUAAGCACCGGCUAACUCCGUGCC
rnacentral:rRNA from 1 species